UACGUAGGGUGCGAGCGUUGUCCGGAAUUACUGGGCGUAAAGGGCUCGUAGGCGGCCAACUAAGUCAGACGUGAAAUCCCUCGGCUUAACCGGGGAACUGCGUCUGAUACUGGAUGGCUCGAGUUGGGAGAGGAUGCGGAAUUCCAGGUGUAGCGGUGAAAUGCGUAGAUAUCUGGAGGAACACCGGUGGCGAAGGCGGCAUCCUGGACCAACACUGACGCUGAUGAGCGAAAGCCAGGGAGCAACGGGAUAGAUA
rnacentral:rRNA from 1 species